AGAGAUUGAGAAAUAUCGACGAUACCGUCGUUUCGCCGCCGUUUCGCCGUUCGACGUCCGAUUCAAGCGGUUUUAGCGGCGAUUUCUUCAGCAUCGAGAGCUCUAUCAAUCCUACGCUUUUUUAAGAAUGGAUGAUGAAGGGGCUGUGCAUUUUUCCUUUGUACAUUUUAUAAUGCUAUAUGGAAGAAAUGCUUUGCAACGCAAUAUUCACAAAGAACAAGUUACAUGAACUGGAGAAAUUUCAUACAAAUUUUGUUGCAGGUUGAACCAAAUCAAGAAGCUGUAAUUAACAGAACAAUAUAAGAGAUCAAGUUGUAAAUAGAUGGAAAAAGAUGACUUAAUUUAUCCUUGUCUACUUAUUAUAAUUGUUGUUCAUUGGUUUGGUUCAUAUUUUGAAUAUUCUGAAGAGUAUUUUGGUCCUGGAUUGCUUCCA